CCUACGGGCGGCAGCAGUGAGGAAUAUUGGUCAAUGGACGAGAGUCUGAACCAGCCAAGCCGCGUGAGGGAUGAAGGUCCAGUGGGUUGUAAACUUCUUUUGUCUGGGAAUAAAGUGUUGCACGUGUGCGCUGUUGUGUGUACCUUAUGAAUAAGGAUCGGCUAACUCCGUGCCAGCAGCCGCGGUAAUACGGAGGAUCCGAGCGUUAUCCGGAUUUAUUGGGUUUAAAGGGAGCGUAGGUGGAUUGUUAAGUCAGUCGUGAAAGUUUGCGGCUCAACCGUAGAAUUGCAGUUGAAACUGGCAGUCUGGAGUAGAGGAGAGGUGUGCGGAAUUCGUGGUGUAGCGGUGAAAUGCUUAGAUAUCGCGAAGAACUCCGAUUGCGAAGGCAGCACACUGGAUCGUAACUGACGCUGAGGCACGAAAGCGUGGGUAUCAAACAGGAUUAGAUACCCUUGUAGUC
rnacentral:rRNA from 1 species